GACGAACGCUGGCGGCGUGCUUAACACAUGCAAGUCGAACGAUGAAGGAGGAGCUUGCUCCUCCGGAUUAGUAGCGAACGGGUGAGUAAUACGUGAGCAAUGUGCCCUUGACUCUGGGAUAAGCGCUGGAAACGGCGUCUAAUACCGGAUACGACCCUCGGAGGCAUCUCCUGAUGGUGGGAAGAACUUCGGUCAAGGAUCAGCUCACGGCCUAUCAGCUAGUUGGUGAGGUAACGGCUCACCAAGGCGACGACGGGUAGCCGGCCUGAGAGGGUGACCGGCCACACUGGGACUGAGACACGGCCCAGACUCCUACGGGAGGCAGCAGUGGGGAAUAUUGCACAAUGGGCGCAAGCCUGAUGCAGCAACGCCGCGUGAGGGACGAAGGCCUUCGGGUUGUAAACCUCUUUUAGCAGGGAAGAAGCGAAAGUGACGGUACCUGCAGAAAAAGCCCCGGCUAACUUCGUGCCAGCCGCCGCAGUAACAC
rnacentral:rRNA from 1 species